GGGGUUGUGGCUCAGAGGUGGAGCACUUGCCUAGCAUACAUGAGACACUGGGUUCAAUACUCAGCACCACA
rnacentral:tRNA from 1 species